ACCCGCUGAACUUAAGCAUAUCAAUAAGCGGAGGAAAAGAAACCAACAGGGAUUGCCCUAGUAACGGCGAGUGAAGCGGCAACAGCUCAAAUUUGAAAUCUGGCUCUUUCAGAGUCCGAGUUGUAAUUUGCAGAGGGCGCUUUGGCGUUGGCAGCGGUCCAAGUUCCUUGGAACAGGACGUCACAGAGGGUGAGAAUCCCGUACGUGGUCGCUAGCCUUUACCGUGUAAAGCCCCUUCGACGAGUCGAGUUGUUUGGGAAUGCAGCUCUAAAUGGGAGGUAAAUUUCUUCUAAAGCUAAAUACUGGCCAGAGACCGAUAGCGCACAAGUAGAGUGAUCGAAAGAUGAAAAGCACUUUGGAAAGAGAGUUAAAAAGCACGUGAAAUUGUUGAAAGGGAAGCGCUUGCAGCCAGACUUGCCUGUAGUUGCUCAUCCGGGUUUUUACCCGGUGCACUCUUCUAUAGGCAGGCCAGCAUCAGUUUGGGCGGUUGGAUAAAGGUCUCUGUCAUGUACCUCUCUUCGGGGAGAACUUAUAGGGGAGACGACAUGCAACCAGCCCGGACUGAGGUCCGCGCAUCUGCUAGGAUGCUGGCGUAAUGGCUGU
rnacentral:rRNA from 1 species